rnacentral:lncRNA from 1 species
UUGAUUUAUGUGAGACUUCUCGAACUUUUAUAAUAGCAAAUAACUCCUCCGUUGGUAGUUGAGCAUGCCAUAUUUUGUGUAAAGUUUCGACGGCCCACAAACUUGGGCCCGUUCCAGUUGGAAUUAAUUUUGCUCUUCUUUUCCCCAGUCACCGACUAAACGAAUGAGGAAAAAAACUCCCACGGCCUUCUUCUCCCUCGUGCCCUUAUUCUUUCCCGGCAGCGACGACUAGGCGAGCGGCGGGACCCGGUUGCUAGGUAUUUUCCGGUGACGAGCAUCCUUACUUUUCCUUUCUGUUGUCCGAAAUGGAGCACACCAAAACUCUUAUGGGGUGUUUGGUUUGAGGAAUCAUUCCAUUCAAAUUGAGGCCUUGUUCGGUUACAUGGGAUAUAAUCCCAUCAUGGAUUUAAUCCGAGUAUGGAUUGGGUGAAUCCAUAUCUCACACCCAAUCUCAUGGUGGGAUUAAAUCCAUCAACAAAUCCAUGUGACUUUCAAAGCUAGUUAUUCUUUUGAUCCAUGGAUUCUAAUGUAAACUUGUGCAAUAUCUCAUGGAUUUGUUCCAUACCUAAUGGGCUAUGGAUAGAAUCCAUGUCUUCCAUAGUUUAAAAAAUUCCCAAACCUUUGGGUUAUAUUCCAUGAUGGGUUUAACCGAAUAAAAAAAAUUAAGUAGUCAUGGAUUAUUUUAGAGCAUGGAUUGAGGCAUGGAUUUAAUUCCAAUCCAUGCUAAUCUAGAGCGGGAUUGGUGUAAACGAACAAAGUCUGAGGUGGUGCAUCAUGGGUUCAUUCCUCAAAUUUGGUGGGAUGAACUCAUUCCUCAUAUUAGUACUAACUAACUAACUAUGAGGAAUGAGGUGAUGAUGGAUCAACUCAUUCCAUUCCACAAACCAAACAAAAUUAGUGAGGAGUGAGAAGAUGAUGGACUAACUCAUUCCUCAAACCAAACACCCUAUUAGUAAGUUAAUUCGAUCCGAAUUCAUGCUAUUGUGUAUCGGCCCCAGCUCAUGUGUCAUAUCCACGAAUUGUGUAUUUUGCAGGUUGGCCAGAACGCAGGGUGUGGGGAAUUGGUGAGCGACUGCAGCCAUGUCUGUGGCCACCGGCGUGAGCGACGCGGCCAUCGCAGUGCGCGAUAAGCUCUGUGGCAAGAUUGGCGAGACCAAGGUGAAGCGGUACUGGCCAGAAAAGCCGUCUGAGUGGGCCAACUAGAGAUGACAAUGGGUACCCGCGACUCGAUACCUGAUGUAUAUUUACUCCAUUAGGGUAUGUAUGUAGACUAAAUAUUCUACCCGUGAGUCUGUUAUUGGGUAAAAAUCUUCACUCAAUGGGUAAACGAGUAUUAGAACGUUCGCCUUCACCCAUACCCGUUAACUCGUGGGUAUAAAAUACCCAAUAUAAACUUAGCCCAAGCAUGAACUUGGACUUUAGUCAUCCAUCUUUUUUACUAUUUAACAAACUGUAAUGUCAUAGAAGCCUUAACGACAAUUUAAUGACCAUGUAAUGGAACAUGUAAUGUGCUAUGUAGUACUAUCCUAGUGUUACUAUUUUAUCCAAUUACCUUUGGUGUGCUGAAUGGAUGGUUAAAUGAUGCUAGAAAAUUUUGCAAUGGUA